rnacentral:rRNA from 1 species
UACGAAGGGGGCUAGCGUUGUUCGGAAUUACUGGGCGUAAAGAGCGUGUAGGCGGCCUGACAGGUCAGCUGUGAAAACUCGAGGCUCAACCUCGAGACGUCGGUUGAAACCAUCUGGCUAGAGUCCGGAAGAGGAGUGUGGAAUUCCCGGUGUAGCGGUGAAAUGCGCAGAUAUCGGGAAGAACACCCGUGGCGAAGGCGGCACUCUGGGACGGUACUGACGCUGAGACGCGAAAGCGUGGGGAGCGAACAGG